ACUCUCCCUAGAGCCCUUGCAGGCUUGGCUGCUGUGUCACAUGGACGUCAGUAGGGGCAGAGAGGAGAGAGGCUGUCUGUGCUCAGUGUUCUGACCUAUGGCCAUCUGAAUGAUUAACAUUCACUGA
ensembl:snoRNA LOC120101327 small nucleolar RNA SNORA17